rnacentral:rRNA from 1 species
GACGAACGCUGGCGGCGUGCCUAAUACAUGCAAGUCGAACGAGUGGCGGACGGGUGAGUAAUGUCUGGGAAACUGCCUGAUGGAGGGGGAUAACUACUGGAAACGGUAGCUAAUACCGCAUACCAUCGGAUGUGCCCAGAUGGAAUUAGCUAGUAGGUGGGGUAAAGGCUCACCUAGGCGACGAUCCCUAGCUGGUCUGAGAGGAUGACAAGCCAAACUGGAACUGAGACACGGUCCAUACUCCUACGGGAGGCAGCAGGGGGGAAUAUUGCACAAUGGGCGCAAGCCUGAUGCAGCCAUGCCGCGUGUAUGAAGAAGGCCUUCGGGUUGUAAAGUACUUUCAGCGGGGAGGCGUUACCCGCAGAAGAAGCACCGGGUAACUCAGUGCCAGCAGCCGCGGUAAUUA